AUUGAACGCUGGCGGCAGGCUUAACACAUGCAAGUCGAGCGGAGAGAGGUAGCUUGCUACUGAUCUUAGCGGUGGACGGGUGAGUAAUGCUUAGGAAUCUGCCUAUUAGUGGGGGACAACAUUUCGAAAGGAAUGCUAAUACCGCAUACGUCCUACGGGGGAAAGCAGGGGAUCUUCGGACCUUGCGCUAAUAGAUGAGCCUAAGUCGGAUUAGCUAGUUGGUGGGGUAAAGGCCUACCAAGGCGACGAUCUGUAGCGGGUCUGAGAGGAUGAUCCGCCACACUGGGACUGAGACACGGCCCAGACUCCUACGGGAGGCAGCAGUGGGGAAUAUUGGACAAUGGGCGCAAGCCUGAUCCAGCCACGCCGCGUGUGUGAAGAAGGCCUUAUGGUUGUAAAGCACUUUAAGCGAGGAGGAGGCUACUUUAGUUAAUACCUAGAGAUAGUGGACGUUACUCGCAGAAUAAGCACCGGCUAACUCUGUGCCAGCCGCCGCCGUAAGAC
rnacentral:rRNA from 1 species